CAGUUCCUUCAUCCUAGACAUGGAAGGGGGCAUGAUCGGAAAGGGGGUGGAGGUCUCGUCGGAAGUUAGAAAUAUAUGUGCUUGUGAUCUAUAAUGGGGCUUUUGCAGCUGCAACACCUAGUGCGGUGAAUACAUUUAGUCUGAGCAUUUCUCUGCGUCCGUCUGGAUUACUGUACCAGAAAUGAGAACCUAACACAGUACAGCUUGCUGCUCAACAGGAAUUCUCUGAGGAUACCAUAUGUAUAAUUUCCUUCCGUUGUGCCCUGUGAACAAGGAACGUAAACCCCAAAAUGAUGUCCAGGGGAGCUGCACAUUCACCCCAAAAAACACAGAGCUGCACAGUAAAAGGCUGACAGGAGAAAAGGAAUGCCUCUGGCUGGUAAGGACCUGAGCCCUAAGACCAUGCCUCAGGACUACCUGGCCUGAUGACUCCUUGCUGUCCCCAGUCCACCUGGUCAUGCUGCUGGUCCAGUUUCAACUGUUCUGCCUGCGGCUAUGGAACCCUGACCUGUUCACCGGACGUUCUGCCUUGUCCAGGACCUGCUCUUUUCAACUCUCUCUCUCUCCACUUGCUGUCUCUAACUCUGAAUGAUCUGCUAUGAAAAGACAAAUUACAUUUACUCCUGAGGUGCUGACCUGUUGCACCCUCUACAACCACUGUGACUAUUAUUAUUUGACUGGUCUGCUGGUCAUUUGUGAACAUUUGAACAUCUUGGCCAUGUACUGAUAUAAUCUCCAUCCGGCACAGCCAGAAGAGGACUGGCCACCCCUCAGAGCCUGGUUCCUCUCUAGGUUUCUUCCUAGGUUCCUGCCAUUCUAGAGGGUUUUUCCUAGCCACCGUGUUUCUACAUCUGCAUUGCUUGCUGUUUGGGAUUUUAGGCAGGGUUUCUGUAUAGCACUUUGUGACAUUGGCUGAUGAAAAAAGUGCUUUAAAAAUACAUUUGAUUGAUUGACUGAAGCUGGUUGAGAGAAUGCCAAAUGUGUGCAAAACUGUAAUCAAGGCAAAGGGUGGCUACUGAAGAAUAUCAAAUAUAAAAUACAUUUUGAUUUGUUAAA